GCGGGAUUGGCGGAAUUGGUAGACGCAACGGUUUUAGGUGCCGUCGCCUUUGGCGUGAGGGUUCGACUCCCUUGUCCCGCACCA
rnacentral:tRNA from 2 species